CUGAUUUCAUAUCGGACGGGAAAUCGAAACAGUAAAGCCGACUCACUGUCCAGACAGUUUAUCUCCCAGGACAGAGGCAAGACUUUAUUAACCACAUUGUAACAUUGCGUAAUUUUAUGUCUUUUUGUAACCAUUACUACAUAUCCCGAGAUAGCUUAAAUCUGAGCGCACAUUAUUACCGAAUGGCUCUCAGAUCACCUACAUACAGUUCAAUCGCCAUGGAGCCAAAGUCUUUUCCAUAGUCUUUCGUUACACAAAUAGGCUUCAUGGCAUAGCUAUCUGGGGUAGCACUACUCACAUACUGAAAGUCCCGAAUGCCCAGGCAGAAAUACACAAAUAAACCUUUCUGCAGGGUAAAAUACAGCUAUCAGCACAGGGGCCAUAUUCAGAAGGCAGGAGGCU